AUUAAACGCUGGCGGCAUGCCUUACACAUGCAAGUCGAACGGCAGCACGGGGGCAACCCUGGUGGCGAGUGGCGGACGGGUGAGUAAAGCAUCGGAACGUAUCCUGGAGUGGGGGAUAACGUAGCGAAAGUUACGCUAAUACCGCAUAUUCUGUGAGCAGGAAAGCAGGGGAUCGCAAGACCUUGCGCUCUGGGAGCGGCCGAUGUCGGAUUAGCUAGUUGGUGGGGUAAAGGCCUACCAAGGCGACGAUCCGUAGCGGGUCUGAGAGGAUGAUCCGCCACACUGGGACUGAGACACGGCCCAGACUCCUACGGGAGGCAGCAGUGGGGAAUUUUGGACAAUGGGCGCAAGCCUGAUCCAGCCAUGCCGCGUGAGUGAAGAAGGCCUUCGGGUUGUAAA
rnacentral:rRNA from 1 species